rnacentral:rRNA from 1 species
GACGAACGCUGGCGGCGUGCUUAACACAUGCAAGUCGAACGGAAAGGCCCUGCUUUUGUGGGGUGCUCGAGUGGCGAACGGGUGAGUAACACGUGAGUAACCUGCCCUUGACUUUGGGAUAACUUCAGGAAACUGGGGCUAAUACCGGAUAGGAGCUCCUGCUGCAUGGUGGGGGUUGGAAAGUUUCGGCGGUUGGGGAUGGACUCGCGGCUUAUCAGCUUGUUGGUGGGGUAGUGGCUUACCAAGGCUUUGACGGGUAGCCGGCCUGAGAGGGUGACCGGCCACAUUGGGACUGAGAUACGGCCCAGUCUCCUACGGGAGGCAGCAGUGGGGAAUAUUGCACAAUGGGCGGAAGCCUGAUGCAGCAACGCCGCGUGCGGGAUGACGGCCUUCGGGAUGUAAACCGCUUUCGCCUGUGACGAAGCGUGAGUGACGGUAAUGGGUAAAGAAGCACCGGCUAACUACGUG